AGGAGAUGAGUUCAGAGUCUGCUCAUGCUGCCAUCUUGGUGAGAUCUACUAUGUGUUUUUCUACCACUAUAAUUUUGAUAAUUUUAUAUGUUUAUGUUUUAAAUCAAACACGUAAGUCAACUUCGUUGUUAAGCAUAGAAAAGUAUUUAUGGUAUGACCAUCAUGUUUAUAAGCACACAUGUUCACUAAAAUACGUAAUUUGCAAUGAACCAUUAUUUCCCUUUUUUUUCAAAGAUGGGCACCUGAGCUAACAUCUGUUGCCAAUCUUCCUUUCUUCUUCUUCUCCCCAAAGCCCCCAGUACGUAGUUGUAUAUUCUAGUUGUAGGUCCUUCUAGUUAUGCCAUGUGGGAUGCUGCCUCAAUGUGGCUUGAUGAGCUGUGCCAUGUCUGUGCCCAGGAUCCAAACCAGCGAAACCCUGGACUCCUGAAGCGAGGCGCAUGAACUUAACCACUCGGCCACGGCCACGGGGCGGUUCCUGAACUAUCAUGUGUGAAAAGCAUUCCAGGUGAUCUUAUUUAGGAUCAAAGUCUUCGGCAUUUCCCCAAGGUCAAGAAGAAGUCGUUAUCAGAUAAGCUCCGAAGGAUCUCAACAGAUAUUGCAUGACAUCUCUUUCUGCUGGGACCCACAUAAAGCAAAUCCAGGACAUCCCUGCACUUCUCCAAAACAGUCCAACAAUGCCUAGAAGCAAACUUGCAUUUUAGAUUAUAGAAAGCAGGGAGCCUGGAAGGAUAAGCAACAAUAUCCUCUCUCAAUCCCAGAAAGAUGUGCUAAGGUGGCUGUCACAUACCCCGUGCUUCUAACCACAUCUGAAGGAACUUCCCCCUCAUGAACACCAGCCCCUGGCAUGACAGCUAUUUAUUCCUCCCGAAACUGAACUCUCAGGUUUCAGUAACUACACUUUAGACGACCCACCAACAAAUCGGUCCAGUUUCUAAAUUCCCUUUUCCCAUUUUAUUGAUGAAUAUAUUAAAGACAAAUUCACUGGUUUUUAAAAACAACAAUAAAAUGUUGCUCUUACCACAACAAGAAAAACC
rnacentral:lncRNA from 1 species